rnacentral:lncRNA from 1 species
GUGAAAACACGACAGCUUGGCAUUUAUUAAUGAAUGACUGUGACUGGGUCACCUUAUUUGUAAUUGCAAAUCUGCCUUUCAACUGACUUGAUGCUAUCUUAUUUUGUUCCUUUCACUCUAUAGACGGCUGGACAUCCUUCUUGUACCUUGGCGCUAGCUGGAUGACGGGACCUCAUCAUGAUCAGUGUAUUGCUUGCCUAUGUCUACAAGAACCGUCACGCGUGGCCUGUGACAGCAAGCUUUUGUGGGCAGCAAGUGCUCUCCUACGAAGGCUGGCCUACUCUGGCAGCGGCGGCAAUCAUCUUCAAGAUUUAUCCAUGAUCACCUUUGCUGCUAUUUGUUACUCUUGUUGAUUACACUUUCUGCAUUUUUUCUAAUUUAUUAGGUAAUAAAGUAUGAGUAUGUGACAUGGUGUGAA